UCAAUUCAAUGGAGAACGUUACAGUGUACAAAUAUGAGCCGCUAAUCAUUAAAACUAUUAAUCGUAUAUUCAUUUCUCUCGUUUUAUCUGUUUAGUGCGCCUUUAAACUUGUUUCCGUGUAUCACAAGUGUUGACAGCAAAUGUGUCUCUCAAAUUGAUUUGGGAUUGAUCAGAUCAAUGAUGGUAGGAGCGGUCUGUCAAAGUACAGCACAGAAAGAGUUUUAGCUGAACCGCGAAUCUUGAAAAGAUUUACAGAUGUUCCUCAGUGGCCGCUUGGUGGAUCCGCGCAGAAGAUCUUCGCUUGUCGAUUCAGCGUUUGAGGUGCCGAGCAACUGAACUGGGCUCGAUCUGGGCCGAUCUUCUUCUCACGGUGGUUAGGGAACCAUCAUCGCAUCGCACCAACAGGCCAACGUCGGUUGCUAUCGCAGGAGCACAGCACUAGGUCGUGGGUCCUUCGGCCUUCUGCCAUAGUCGCGAGAUCUGUUUCAUCUGGGGCAGCAGCAGCAGUAGCAGAACCAGUGUCUUCAGCUUUACGGCCUUAACCUACCUGGACCCAACCCAGCUUAACUUUAAGAUACCCGCCAAGAACGGUGCGCCAGCGGAGGCGGAGGCAGCUGUGGUGUUCCCCAAGGCUCGCAACUCGUCGAGCCCCAGUGACUGUCGUCAGCAGCAAGUACGAUUACGACCGCGGCCUCAACAACAUGGACAAUAUUGUCGCCAUCGUGAUCAUCACGAUCGUCGUUGAGAAAGCAGAAAAGCUGGCGCCGCGCUGACCUCCGAGUGACCGAGGACGGAAAAAGAAGAAGCUAACAGACACCAGUCUCGAAGCAGGCCACGGAAGCUUGGGGAAGGAAGCACCGCAGAAGGACAUAGACCAGAUGGCGACCGGAAGCACCAUCGGGGGCGGUGGUGACACCGACAUUCACUGGCUCGGCCAAACCCCCGGGGGCGGGUACUCAGAGUUCAAACAUUCAAGAAGUAUAACCUAGCCACCGGGUUAGACAACUUAUAGUGGACGGUCAGCUCUGAGAUGUAUAUGGACAAUGAAAAAUACUGCUGCGACUUUUGCUUCGGACAGCAGUUGAAAAUCCGGGCGGAUCCAAAGCUCGUCAGAUUCAAUGUUACUGGUCACGAGAAAAAGCAGAAAUGAUUUUGAUUCUACGUACUAUAUUCUACUGUAUCUAUUCUUCGAAUGUUCAUUAGUAGAAACGUCGUUGGUAUUUGCGUCAAAACUGUAAAGUGACUAGGAUUUUGGUCCAGAAAAAAAAAAGGUGCUCCCGAAUGCUUUUUCCCGUAGUUACCCCGUUGUUCGAACCGAGUAUUUAGUUAAGCAAUUGCAUUUUCUAGCAGCGCUAUCGCUUAGAAACGAUUAGAACGGACAUAUAACCAGAUAACAACUUUAUUGAGCCGUGGCAUCACAACUAAAUAGAGCGUUUUUUGUUACGGUAGCUAAAGGCACACAUUACAGCAGAAACUCGAAAAUCGAGCAGAAUGCGCAAGACGAUAACAGCAACGUCCGAACGGACGCUCUUAAGCAAAGAAUCUUCGCCCGUUCAGCUAACCGCAAGCCAGUGAAGACAUCGUCCGAAGUGUACACGAAAAGAAUAUAAAAUCAAUGCUGUUUGUUCUCGAUACCUGAAUUGGCCCCUUGAUAUCUGUAUUACGCUCAAAACAUCAAAAGCGCUCCCUUACGUCUCCCUUGAACUUUCUGCUCUUGGCAAUCCGUCACCGGCGGCAAUACUAAAUUGUGACGAUAUUCGCACCUCAAUGAAAAGCCAACAACUCUAUACGAAGUCAACAGGAGCGAAGUCUUGCUCUCUUGUCCCUGAAAAGCCCGCUGAUGAGAUCGCAUACGUUCCAUCAACAGGUUAUGUUCGA